AAGGAGACAGGGGAGAGAUGGUAGGGAGACAGGGUAGAGAUGGAAGGGAGACAGGGGAGAGAUGGAAGGGAGACAGGGUAGAGAUGGAAGGGAGACAGGGGAGAGAUGGUAAUGAGACAGGGUAGAGAUGGAAGGGGGACAGGGAGAGAUGGAAGGGAGACAGGGGAGAGAUGGUAAUGAGACAGGGUAGAGAUGGAAGGGGGACAGAGGAGAGAUGGAAGGGAGACAGGGUAGAGAUGGUAAUGAGACAGAGUAGAGAUGGAAGGGAGACAGGGGAGAGAUGGAAGGGAGACAGGGUAGAGAUGGUAGGGAGACAGGGGAGAGAUGGAAGGGAGACAGGGGAGAGAUGGAAGGAGACAUGGGAGAUAUGGAAGGGAGACAGGGUAGAGAUGGAAGGGAGACAGGGGAGAGAUGGAAGGGAGACAGGGGAGAGAUGGUAAUGAGACAGGGGAGAGAUGGAAGGGAGACAGGGGAGAUAUGGAAGGGAGACAGGGAGAGAUGGAAGGGGAGAGAUGGAAGGGGAGAGAUGGUAGGGAUACAGGGGAGAGAUGGUAGGGAUACAGGGAGAGAUGGAAGGGGAGAGACGGAAGGGGAGAGAUGGUAGGGAUACAGGGGAGAGAUGGAAGGGUAGAGAUGGAAGGGGAGAGAUGGUAGGGAGACAGGGGAGAGAUGGAAGUGGAGAGAUGGUAGGGAGACAGGGGAGAUAUGGAAGGGAGACAGGGGAGAGAUGGAAGGGUAGAGAUGGAAGGGAGUCAGGGUAGAGAUGGUAGGGAGACAGGGGAGAGAUGCUAGGGAGACAGGGUAGAGAUGGAAGG
ensembl:lncRNA